rnacentral:rRNA from 1 species
UACGUAGGGUGCAAGCGUUGUCCGGAAUUAUUGGGCGUAAAGAGCUUGUAGGUGGCUUGUCGCGUCUGCCGUGAAAACCCGAGGCUCAACCUCGGGCGUGCGGUGGGUACGGGCAGGCUAGAGUGUGGUAGGGGAGAUUGGAAUUCCUGGUGUAGCGGUGGAAUGCGCAGAUAUCAGGAGGAACACCGAUGGCGAAGGCAGAUCUCUGGGCCGUAACUGACGCUGAGGAGCGAAAGCAUGGGGAGCGAACAGG